rnacentral:rRNA from 1 species
UAGUGGCGGAAGGGUUAGUAACACAUGAGUAAUCUGCCUUUAACUUUGGGAUAACGGCUGGAAACGGUCGCUAAUACCGGAUGUGGUGAUGUAUUCGUAGGGGUAUGUCAUUAAAGCAGGGGACCGAGAGGCCUUGCGGUUAGAGAGGGGCUCAUGGGAUAUCAGUUANGUUGGUGUUGGUAAAGUGCGCCCACCAAGUGCAAAGAAACGUCUAGGCGGGUUGAGAGAUUGACCGCCAACAUUGGGACUGAGACACUGCCCAAACUCCUACGGGAGGCUGCAGUCGAGAAUCUUUCGCAAUGGGCGCAAGCCUGACGAAGCGACGCCGUGUGAACGAAGAAGGCCUUCGGGUUGUAAAGUCCUUUCGCUGGGGAGCAAGAGAAGUGGGCGAAUAGUCUACUGAUUUGAGAGUACCUGGUAAAGAAGCACCGGCUAACUCCGUGCCAGCAGCUGCGGUAAUACGGAGGGUGCGAGCAUUAAUCGGAUUUAUUGGGCGUAAAGGGCGCGUAGGCUGGACGAUAAGUCAGACGUGAAAUCUAAGGGCUUAACCUUUGGGCUGCGUUUGAAACUGUGGUUCUAGAGGGGUAGGCGGAGAGAACGGUGAUUCCACAAGUACCGGUGGAAUGCGUAGAUAUGUGGAGGGACACCUGUGGCCGAAGGCGGUUCGUCUAGCUUAUACCUGACGCUGAGGCGCGAAAGCAAGGGGAGCGAACAGGAUUAGAUACCCUGGUAGUCCUUGCCGCAAACGAUGCACACUUGGUGUAGCUGGACUCAACUCUGGCUGUGCCGUAGCCAACGUGUUAAGUGUGCCGCCUGGGGAGUACGCUCGCAAGGGUGAAACUCAAAAGAAUUGACGGGGACCCGCACAAGCAGUGGAACAUGUGGUUUAAUUCGAGGCAACGCGAAGAACCUUACCCAGGUUUGACAUGCAGUGGGCGGCACUAGAGAUAGUGUUUUCCUUCGGGACUGCUGCACAGGUGCUGCAUGGCUGUCGUCAGCUCGUGCCGUGAGGUGUUGGGUUAAGUCCCGCAACGAGCGCAACCCCUAUUGUUAGUUGCCAUCAAGUGAAGUUGGGCACUCUAGCGAGACUGCCCGGGUUAACCGGGAGGAAGGUUGGGAUGACGUCAAGUCCGCAUGGCCCUUAUGCCUGGGGCUACACACGUGUUACAAUGGUCGGUACAGAGGGCGGCGAAGUCGAGAGAUGGAGCAAAUCUUUAAAGCCGAUCUCAGUUCGGAUUGCAGUCUGCAAUUUGACUGCAUGAAGUUGGAAUUGCUAGUAAUGGCGUGUCAGCAACAACGCCGUGAUACGUUCCCGGGUCUUGUACACACCGCCCGUCACAUCAUGGGAGUUGGUUUUACCCGAAGUCGCUGACUUAA